rnacentral:rRNA from 1 species
AGCUGUUCGACCAACAUUGGUUGGUUGAGUGGCUAAGCGAAAGUGAUAAGUAUCCCACCUGGGGAGUACGGUCGCAAGACUGAAACUCAAAGGAAUUGACGGGGGCCCGCACAAGCGGUGGAGCAUGUGGUUUAAUUCGAUGAUACGCGAGGAACCUUACCAGGGCUUAAAUGUAAGUUGCAUGAUUUAGAGAUAGAUCUUUCUUCGGACUACUUACAAGGUGCUGCAUGGUUGUCGUCAGCUCGUGCCGUGAGGUGUCAGGUUAAGUCCUAUAACGAGCGCAACCCCUGUCGUUAGUUGCCAGCAAGUUAAGUUGGGCACUCUAGCGAGACUGCCAGUGCAAACUGUGAGGAAGGUGGGGAUGACGUCAAAUCAUCACGGCCCUUACGUCCUGGGCUACACACGUGCUACAAUGGUCGGUACAGAGAGCAGCCACUACGCGAGUAGGAGCGAAUCUAUAAAACCGAUCUCAGUUCGGAUCGCAGUCUGCAACUCGACUGCGUGAAGCUGGAAUCGCUAGUAAUCGGAUAUCAGCCAUGAUCCGGUGAAUACGUUCCCGGGCCUUGUACACACCGCCCGUCAAGCCAUGGAAGCUGGGAGUACCUGAAGUCGGUUACCGCAAGGAGCUGCCUAGGGUAAAACUGGUAACUGGGGCU